CACCGCCCGUCACAUCACGAAAGUGGCCGUACUAGAAGCCGGUGUGCUAACCGCAAGGAGGCAGCCGUCCAAGGUACAGCUCAUCGAUUGGGGUG
rnacentral:rRNA from 1 species